CCGACCAAGGAGUCCAACAUGUGCGCGAGUCUAAGGGUGUCAUAAACCCGGAGGCGAAAUGAAAGUGAGCCCCUUGCGGGCAGGCCGAUCCCCUGUUGCCCGGUGGGCGGCGGCGUCCCGCGUCGAGAGAAUUUCCGCGGGAGCCGGUGCCGUCCGCCGGGUGGCGGCCGGCCGCCGUCGCGCGUCGGCCUCCGGGCCGGCUGCUGCGGCGGUGGCGGGAGACGGGGCGCAGGCCGAGGACUUGCCGUUGUGCGGCSCGGGCAACGGGGGGCGGCCGCUCCGGCGGGCCGCCUCCUUAUCCCGAUGUCCGCCGGCAAGUACCUGAGAGCGCAGCCGUUGGGACCCGAAAGAUGGUGAACUAUGCCUGGCGAGGACGAAGCCAGAGGAAACUCUGGUGGAGGUCCGAAGCAGUUCUGACGUGCAAAUCGAUUGUCAGAGCUGGGUAUAGGGGCGAAAGACUAAUCGAACCAUCUAGUAGCUGGUUCCCUCCGAAGUUUCCCUCAGGAUAGCUGGCGUUGGAACUGAUGAGUUUCAUCCGGUAAAGCGAAUGAUUAGAGGCCUUGGUGGUGCAAUGCCGUCAACCUAUUCUCAAACUUUAAAUGGGUGAGAGGUGGAGCUUGCUUGAGACGUGAA
rnacentral:rRNA from 1 species